rnacentral:misc_RNA from 1 species
GAUGAAGAACGUAGCGAAAUGCGAUACUUGGUGUGAAUUGCAGAAUCCCGUGAACCAUCGAGUCUUUGAACGCAAGUUGCGCCCGAAGCCAUCAGGUUGAGGGCACGUCUGCCUGGGCGUCACAUAUCGUUGCCCAAUGCCUAUUGCAGUGCAAUAGGAAUUUCUAGGGCGAAUGAUGGCUUCCCGUGAGCCUUGUUGCCUCGCGGUUGGUUGAAAAUCGAGUCCUUGGUAGGGUGUGCCAUGGUAGAUGGUGGUCGAGUUAGAACGAUACCGAUCAUGUGCAUGCUCCCCAAAAUAUGGCCUCUAUGACCCACACGCGUCUUUUGACGCUCAUGACGAGACCUCAGGUCAGGCGGGGCUACCCGCUGAAUUUAAGCAUAUCAAUAAGCGGAGGA